rnacentral:rRNA from 1 species
GAUGAACGCUAGCUACAGGCUUAACACAUGCAAGUCGAGGGGCAUCACAGUGUAGCAAUACACGGGUGGCGACCGGCGCACGGGUGCGUAACACGUAUCCAAUCUGCCCGUUACUCGGGGAUAGCCUUCUGAAAGGAAGAUUAAUACCCGAUGGCAUGUAUUUCCGGCAUCGGAGAUACAUUAAAGAUUAAUCGGUAACGGAUGAGGAUGCGUACGAUUAGCUGGUUGGCGGGGUAACGGCCCACCAAGGCGACGAUCGUUAGGGGUUCUGAGAUGAAGGUCCCCCACACUGGAACUGAGACACGGUCCAGACUCCUACGGGAGGCAGCAGUGAGGAAUAUUGGUCAAUGGGCGCGAGCCUGAACCAGCCAAGUAGCGUGAAGGAUGACUGCCCUACGGGUUGUAAACUUCUUUUGUUUGGGAAUAAAUGAUACUACGUGUAGUAUUUUGCAUGUACCUUACGAAUAAGCAUCGGCUAAUUCCGUGCCAGCAGCCGCCGUAAUAC